rnacentral:rRNA from 1 species
GAGCGUGUGGAGGACCGAACCCACCUAGGUUGAAAACUGGGGGGAUGAGCUGUGGAUAGGGGUGAAAGGCCAAUCAAACUCUGUGAUAGCUGGUUCUCCCCGAAAUGCAUUUAGGUGCAGCGUUGCAUGUUUCUUGCCGGAGGUAGAGCGACUGGAUGGCUGAUGGGCCCGCGAGGGUUACUGACGUUAGCUAAACUCCGAAUGCCGGUAAGUGAGAGUGUAGCAGUGAGACAGUGGGGGAUAAGCUUCAUUGUCGAGAGGGAAACAGCCCAGACCAUCAACUAAGGCCCCUAAGCGUGUGCUAAGUGGGAAAGGAUGUGGAGUUGCUGAGACAACCAGGAGGUUGGCUUAGAAGCAGCCAUUCCUUAAAAGAGUGCGUAAUAGCUCACUGGUCAAGCGACCCUGCGCCGAAAAUACAACGGGGCUCAAGUUGUUAACCGAAGAUGUAAAAUCGUAAGAUUGGUAGCGGAGCGUUCUGUAAGCCGCAGAAGGUGAGGGGUAACCCGAGCUGGAGGUAUCAGAAGCGAAAAUGUUGGUAUGAGUAACGAGAGGGAAAUGAAAACAUUCCCCAUCGGAAACCCAAGGUUUCCUACGCAACGGCAGUCGUCGUAGGGUUAGUCGGUCCUAAGGUGAAGCUGAAAGGCAAAGCUGAUGGAUACCAGGUUAAUAUUCCUGGACUACUUAUAUAACUGAAGGGGGGACAUAUUUGGAUAUAAGAGAUACUUAAUUACUUGUAUUACGAAAGCGAAACUAGGGAUAUAGGCAAAUCCGUAUUCCUGUUAAAGUUGAGCUAAGUUAAGUUGAUGGAAGCCAUUAUUGGUGGAAAGAUUCUGCUCUUACUAUAUUCAGGUAUCGAGAAAAGCCUCUAAGGGUUAAUUGUAUAAGUAACCGUACCGCAAUCAAACACAUGUGGGUUGGUGGAGAACACCAAGAUGAACGAGAAAACUAUGCUUAAGGAACUCGGCAAAACAGCGGUCGUAACUUCGGGAUAAGACCUGCCUAGAGUGUAAUUUACAAACUAGGCCGCAGCGAAAGAACUCAGGCGACUGUUUACCAAAAACACAGCUCUCUGCAAACUCGUAAGAGGAAGUAUAGGGGGUGAUGCCUGCCCAGUGUCAGAAGGUUACAUGGAUGUGUGAGAGCAUUGAAAUCAAGCCCUGAUGAACGGCGGCCGUAACUAUAACGGUCCUAAGGUAGCGAAAUUCCUUGUCGGGUA